AUUGAACGCUGGCGGCAGGCCUAACACAUGCAAGUCGAGCGGAUGAAGGGAGCUUGCUCCUGGAUUCAGCGGCGGACGGGUGAGUAAUGCCUAGGAAUCUGCCUGGUAGUGGGGGAUAACGUCCGGAAACGGGCGCUAAUACCGCAUACGUCCUGAGGGAGAAAGUGGGGGAUCUUCGGACCUCACGCUAUCAGAUGAGCCUAGGUCGGAUUAUCUAGUUGGUGGGGUAAAGGCCUACCAAGGCGACUAUCCGUAACUGGUCUGAGAGGAUGAUCAGUCACACUGGAACUGGGACACGGUCCAGACUCCUACGGGAGGCAGCAGCGGGGAAUAUUGGACAAUGGGCGAAAGCCUGAUACAGCCAUGCCGAGUGUGUGAAGAAGGUCUUCGGAUUGUAAAGCACUUUAAGUUGGGAGGAAGGGCAGUAAGUUAAUACCUUGCUGUAUUGACGUUACCAACAGAAUAAGCACCGGCUAACUUCGUG
rnacentral:rRNA from 1 species